rnacentral:lncRNA from 1 species
AUAGUCUAAAAUCAAAUUAUUCCAACAACAAUUCCUCUUCCAUACCCAUUUUUCAGAAUUGAAUUCAUCAUGAUAACUCAAUAUUCAACCAUGGAAAUCAAGAACAAAAGCAUGGGUAAGCUAGGUAUCAAGGAGAAUUAAAGAAAUUUGAACUUACCUAGCUUAUUUCCUUGAAUUCCAACACUUUCUCUUUGAUUUUUUCCCACCUAGGGCUUGUUCUUCCUUGGUUUCUCUUCUCUUCUAGUUUGGCU